GGCGGUAACAGAGUCGGUCCCCGUGAUCCCUGCCGCAGUGCUGGCAGAUCUUCCCACGUGCUGCCCUCGUAGCCUGAGGAGGGGCCUGGAUGGCGGGUCUGGGCCUUUUACUGGGUUGGACAGGCGCGGUAGGUGCUGGCCUGCGGAGCGGAGCUGAGGGUCGGGAACUCCCCACUAGCUGAGGGUGGGUGUCGAAGCUCCUUUCUAUGAUCUGCGCCUUUGCUAGGACUGCUGAAUAUGUCUCGAGCUCCAUUACCAGUAAGUGCUGUUUGAUCUCCGGGCGGAGGCCCCACUGGAAUUUCCUGGCCUUUCACCCUCAUCCAUCAAUGUCUCCGGGGCAUAUCGGCCCAGCUUCAGGAACUUACGGGCAUACUCUGACACUGUCAUGUUUCCCUGGACCAAUUGAGCAAACUCCAUUUCCUUCAGGUGUUGGAUGUGUUUAGGGAGAUACUCCGCGUGGAAGGCCGCUAAGAACUACUCCCAAGUAGCUGGUGUGGGCAGGGUGGUCCGCUUGAGCUCCCACCAGCGUACUGC
rnacentral:lncRNA from 1 species